CAUCAUUCAUCUUCCUUCAAAUCUCUAGCCAGGGCUUCACAGGGCUUGGCAGCUCAAUUUCCUUUCAGCCUACUGGAUGAGACAGAAGGGUCCACCGGUCACUUAUCUAAGCAAAGCACAUUGGGAGCCAUUAGAACUUGCGCCACCCGGCAGACUGUUCUGAACCAGAGAGGAGAAAUCAAGGCUGCCUCACCAUAUGAGACUCAGAUUUAAGGUCAGUGGAAACACACAGCACAGGUUAUUCAGAAACUACCUCUACGGACGAGGCUGCUUCCUUCACAGUGGACACAUGGAAUCUGACCCGCGUUCUUCUCCCACCCUGGGCAGCCCAGAGGAGUCGGGAUUGAGGACUGGGGCUGUGCAGGAGGGGAUCCCGACUGCAGGGCAGUCCGUGCGUGGUGACUAUGUGUUCCUCACAUCCCAGAGAACGCCUCUUCCUCAAGAUUUAUGACUUCAUUUUGUUGUAAUGCUUUCUGCCAAAAUUCUAAGAAGCCACAGUGACGGAUGGGUAGCACGGAGAGGGGCAGAAUGCGCUGGUGGAAACAGCUCAGAUGAAGGCUUAAAGGGAAGAAGCCCUUGAUCAGCAAGUGUCUGCUGAGCACCUACCCUGUGUGCUGUGCGUGCUAAGUCGCUUCAGUCAUGUCUGACUCUUGGCGACCCUAUGAACUAGAACCCUCCAGGCUCCUCUGUCUGUGGGAUUCUCCAGGAAAGAAUACUGGAGUGGGUUUCCAUGCUCUCCUGCAAGGGAUCUUCCUGACCAAGAAUCAAACCCGUGGUUCUUAUGUCUUCUGCACUGGCAGGUGGGUUCUUUUCCACCAGCACUACCUGGGAAGCCCUUGCCCUCCUUGCUUAUUCCCAGGGAGGCAGAGGUCAGAGCCACAGCCCCUUAAAGGACACUGAAGGCUCUAGCAAUGCCUGCCCUCCCUGGAAGGAUGAACGUUAGCAGUCCUUCCAAGUGGGGGACAGAGAGUAGCAUCUCAGAGGAGCUCCGGUUCAUGCCAACCCCUCCCGGACCAGUAGUAAAGCUUCAGAAAAACCAGCCCGUGAGCUAACCCAGGGUGGGGAGAGACCAGGCACAGCCCUUUUAUUCUAUCCUGUCUAAACCCUGUGUGUCCUCAAGGGUAAGACAUGAUCCUGACCCUGCUGAUGGCUGCCCAACCUUAUCCCUCUGACACCAAGGUGUUCUCCCCUUAGGCCACCUGGAAAAUGAAAGUUUAGUCACUCGGUCCUUGCGAGCCCAUAGACUGUAGCCCACCAGGCUCCUCUGUCCAUGGCAAGAACACUAGGGCAGGUUGCCAUUCCCUUCUCCGGGUGAUCUUCUGACCCAGGGAUUGAACCCAGGUCUCCUACACUGCAGUCAGAUUCUUUACUGUCUGAGCCACCAGGGAAGCCCUCAGGCCACCUGGAACCUCCUCCAGAACAGCUGAAAAGCCCCGGCUUGAGGAGCUUGGUGUCCACCGCAGGCCCUCCUCCCAUUUCCACUUUGUCUACUCCAGUUUCUCCUUUGAAAUAAAUGUAUUCAAUCUGAAGGUACAAAAUGGAUGAAACAGUUGUUUUUAAAUGCUGAUUUCAUGCCCCUCCCAAAGGCACUCUUUUGUUCUCCUGUUUAAUUUUUACAUCGCAUCGGCAAUAACAAACUCUAGGGCAGGUGCAUCAAAGGAAACUGAUAAUUGCUAACUGUACAUUUUAUUUGGUUCAUUACUUUGUUAACACCUGAUUCUGAAAAAUACUCCCUCUGAACCGGCAUAAAAAUUAUUAGCAACAAAGAGAUCCUUUUUUGCAUAGAAAUAGGUUUAUUACCUGCCACCUGCAAGUGAGUGUGUGAGAUUGGCUUUGUGGCAGCCAGCAACAUUCAGCAAGCACCUUUCCACCUGCCUCCAGGUAAACAAACAUCUUAUCACCCGAGGGUUAUAACCUAAGGGUUCUGUUUUGCUUUGCAGAAGUGUACCCAUGUUGUACCCUGGGAUUCCAGGUGGGUGGGAAAUAGUAGAGUCCCAGGGACACGGGGUUCUAAAGUGGGCCUGGGGCAUCCCCAAGAAGGCAAGAAGGUAUAGGAUGUCCUAAGAGCUAGUUGAGGGGGAGCACACUGGGAAACCACCCAAUUACUGAGUGUGUGCGAUUCAUUCUAUGUUUAGGCGAGAGUGUUAUUUGCUCAGUUGUGUCCGACACUUUAAGAUCCUAUGGACUGUAGCCUGCCAGGCCCCUCUGUCCGUGGAAUUCUCCAGGCAAGAAUACUAGAGUGGGUUGCCAUUUCCUUCUCCAGGGAAUCUUCCCAACCCAGGGAUCGAAUCUGUAUCUUCCCACGUUGCAGGUGGAUUCUUUACCGUCUGAGCCACCAGUACUUCCUAUGUGCACGGUCAGCAGCAGAAUUCCAAUGUAUGUAAGUAGUGGGUGGUGGAUACACCUGGAUGCCUCCUAACAUCUUUAAAUUCCCUUCCUGUGUUUGGGCAAAUUCCCUGGCUCAUGACCGCACAUUCCCACCCCUCCCCUCCUGCCCCCACCAAGGCCUCCUUAAGAGAGAAGCUAUUUAGAAUGCCUCUUGCUUCUCAGGCUCAGGUAAGAGACAGCCUUCACUGAUGGGACACCCGCUGGAGACUUUGAUUGGGAAACUAAUGUCAUAAAGACAUGGAACCCAUUCUGCUGAGCAUAGCAGCCAAGUAGCCAGCUAGCUCCCAGUGACCAAGAUUCCAGAUCGCAUCCGAGCCCCACACUCAGGUACGUGAAUGUGAUGUUUGUGUCCAGGGCUGUCUUCUAUUUGUGAUAGAAUCUGGUCACUGUUCUUUGCUACUGGGUAUUCAGGCUUGUUCCUCUGGACCUCUCAGAAUCUCUGGGUUGUUGAUAUACCUGAACAAAUGCAUUUUCUGCUGAAACUGGCUCAAAUGGGUUUCUGAUGUUUGCAUCUGGGAACCCAUGUACUCAUAGCUCUAUACACUGCAAAUGUCAGAUGCCCAAAGGGCAUUUGUUGGUUUGUGAAACCUAAAACCCCCAGGAGUCUGUAGUCUCAGAUAUGGUCAGACAGGGACUAGGACUAGCUGCAUAAUUUGCAAAAGAAAAUAAAACUGCUAGUUGCUCAUUCGUGUCCGACUGUGACCCCAUGGACGGUAGCCCGCCAGGCUUCUCUGUCCAUGGAAUUCUCCAGGCAAGAAUCCUGGAGUGGGUUGCCAUUUCCUACUCUUAGCGAUCUUCUUGACCCAAGGAUUGAACCCACACCUCUCACAUCUCCUGCACUGGCAGGUGACUUCUUUACUGUAGCCACCAGGGAAGCCCAGGUAAUUUGAGAGGCCCAGCACAAAAUGAAAGUUCAAGACCCUUUUCCAAAGAGUGCUGAGAAUUUCAAGACGACAGUGCAAGAGCAUGAAGCCAGGUACAGGGUCCUUCUGAGUGCAGAGCUCUUUGUGACGGCACAGACGGCAUGCCCACAGUGCUGGCUCUGCUCCAGGACGCCUGUGUCUUUCUCGUCCUCCUGCUUGGUUCUGUCAAGUCCCAUCUGACCCGUUGCCUGCCCACGCACUCCAGUGUUACAGAGGGGAAGGCUGGCUUCCCACAGUUAAGAGCCCAGUUGCAUCUGCAGCGUGUCCAGGCACGCUCACCACCAUUGCGCUGAUGGGCCCGGUAUGCGGACUGUGGUCUCAGCUCAGGCUCCCAGCCUCUGCAGGGAGGAUGGGUGUGCGGGGGGUUUCUAGAGGACAUGCUCCCAGGGGAGACCUGUGGGGAAGCAGGGACAGGGAGGAAAUGAAGCAGAGGCCCUCGGAGGGGCUCCAGAGCAUGAGUGAUGCCUCAGAGUUGCCUGCACCUGAGACAGGGAGGCUGGCUUUUCAACACUCCCUGUGUGCACCCCGCAGGCACUGAUUAAGGGCCACGCCCCGUGUGGGUGGGCACCUGUCUUCUCAGACUUUCUGUGCACAUGGACAACGUGGGCCCCCUAGACUGAGGAACAGCUUCUAUAAAAGACACGCAGGGGCGUACUCCUGGAGGUCAACACUGAAGUGAAGAGAGAGGUCCUGGAGUGGUACAGGAAGUCUAGAGCCCUGGAUUUAAGAACAUUCCAGAGUCCUGACCCUACCUGAAGUGGCCCUGAGAAAAUGCUGAUGUGAGAAACCCCACAUUUCCACUGGGAAUGUUCGUGCCGGGGAGUCAGGAAAUACCAGGUGAUGGGCCAGUGGGGACUAGAAGAUCAUGCAUAUUACCCUAACAUUUCAAAAAUUAAUCUUAGCCUACCUAAGUAAUGCAAAACUCAGAUUCCCUCCUUUGAAAUGAAUGAAUUACAUAACAGUGUUUUGUAAGAACUCUGAGAGCUUCUGAGUCUGUCACAGGAAAAAUCUUUGCACAGACUCUGCUCCUCUCUUUUGACACCUGCAGUUAGUCAUAGGUGACUACUGAUUGGUCUUGAGAGGUGCAUAUCAUUAGAUUCAUUAAGGACAGGGUCCUAGAAGAAUAGGAUUAAUUAUUAACAGGGAGAUUUAUGAAUACAUUUUAAUAACAGCCUUGUUGAAGUACAAUUCACAUACCAUACACUUUCCCUAUGUAAAAGGUAGAAUUCAGUCACUUUUAGUCUAUUUAGUAAAAUUGGGCAAUGACUGCCACAGUGAACUUUAGAAAGUUUGCAUCAAAAAGAUAAAACUUCUGUCAAAAAAGAAACCCCAGACCCAUUAGUAUUCUUUAUGCCCAGUUAAGGAUUUGGAAAUCCUUAGUCCUAAGUGGAGGUGAUGGAAUUCCAAUUGAGCUGUUUCAAAUCCUGAAAGAUGAUGCUGUGAAAGUGCUGCACUCAAUAGGCCAGCAAAUUUGGAAAACUCAGCAGUGGCCACAGGACUGAAAAAGGUCAGUUUUCAUUCCAAUUCCAAAGAAAGGCAAUGCCAAAGAAUGCUCAAACUACUGCACAAUUGCACACAUCCCACAUGCUAGUAAAGUAAUGCUCAAGAUUCUCCAAGCCAGGCUUCAGCAAUAUGUGAACCGUGAACUCCCUGAUGUUCAGGCUGGUUUUAGAAAAGGCAGAGGAACCAGAGAUCAAAUUGCCAACAUCCACUGGAUCAUGGAAAAGCAAGAGAGUUCCAGAAAAACAUCUAUUUCUGCAUUAUUGACUACGCCAAAGCCUUUGACUGUGUGGAUCACAAUAAACUGUGGAAAAUUCUUCAAGAGAUGGGAAUACCAGACCACCUGACCUGCCUCUUGAGAAAUCUGUAUGCAGGUCAGGAAGCAACAGUUCGAACUGGACAUGGAACAACAGACUGGUUCCAAAUAGGAAAAGGAGUCCGUCAAGGCUGUAUAUUGUCACCCUGCUUAUUUAACUUCUAUGCAGAGUACAUCAUGAGAAACGGACUAGAAGAAACACAAGCUGGAAUCAAGAUUGCUGGGAGAAAUAUCAAUAACCUCAGAUAUGCAGAUGACACCACCUUUAUGGCAGAAAGUGAAGAGGAGCUAAAAAGCCUCUUGAUGAAAGUGAAAGAGGAGAGUGAAAAAGUUGGCCUAAAGCUCAACAUUCAGAAAACUAAGAUCAUGGCAUCCGGUCCCAUCACUUGAUGGGAAAUAGAUGGGGAAACAGUGGAAACAGUGUCAGACAUUAUUUUUUUGGGCUCCAAAAUCAUUGCAGAUGGUGACUGCAGCCAUGAAAUUAAAAGACGCUUACUCCUUGGAAGAAAAGUUAUGACCAACCUAGACAGCAUAUUCAAAAGCAGAGACAUUAGUUUGCCGACUAAGGUCCGUCUAGUCAAGGCUAUGGUUUUUCCUGUGGUCAUGUAUGGAUGUGAGAGUUGGACUGUGAAGAAGGCUGAGCACUGAAGAAUUGAUGCUUUUGAACUGUUGGAGAAGACUCUUGAGAGUCCCUUGGACUGCAAGGAGAUCCAACCAGUCCAUUCUGAAGGAGAUCAACCCUGGGAUUUCUUUGGAAGGAAUGAUGCUAAAGCUGAAACUCCAGGACUUUGGCCACCUCAUGUGAAGAGUUGACUCAUUGGAAAAAACUCUGACACUGGGAGGGAUUGGGGGCAGGAGGAGAAGGGGACGACAAAGGAUGAGAUGGCUGGAUGGCAUCAUGGACUCGAUGGACGUGAGCCUGAGUGAACUCCGCGAGAUGGUGAUGAACAGGGAGGCCUGGCGUGCUGUGAUUCAUGGGGUCGCAAAGAGUCGGACACAACUGAGUGACUGAACUGAACUGAAACAAAAAAUGUUUAGGAUUGGUGGACCAUCCCUCUAGUUCCUAAUUUCAGGAAACAUCCAGAAAGCCCUCUGGGAAAGCAUGGCUCUAGAAAGUCCCCCAUUAUUUUCAUGCUGUUGGGAGAAUCAUGACUUUGAGUGCCUUUCUUUCUUCUUUUUUUUUUUUUUUAAUAUUUAUUUAUUUGGCUGUGCCAGGUCUUAGUUGCUGCACAUGGGAUCUUCAGCUGUGGCAUGUGAACUCCUAAUUGGAGAAUGUGGGAGCUAGUUCCCUGACCAGGGAUCGAACGUGGGCCCUCUGCAUUGGGAGUGUGAAGUCUUAGCCACUGGGCUACUAGGGAGGUGCACUUGAUUGCCUUUCUGAUCGUCAGACUCAGUGACAGGCACAUCAACAGAAAAAAAAAAAAAGGAGCGGGGGGGGGGGGGGGGGAAGACUCUAUUAACCCAGUCAGGCCAUGGCAGUAAGUCAGGCGCAGGUCACAGUCCAAGAGAAAUGUGAGCACUUGCAUCCCUGGCUAUCUCCAGAGCACACGGGGCAGAGGUGUGGCAGUUUCCUUCCUCAUCACCAAGGGGACCUCAGGUCACUCCUAAUGAGGUCCUGCAUCUCCAAAUUCCAGCUUGGACAAAACCAGGCAGUGCUUACACAGGAAGCUGGCCAUGCUCGCUGAACCAAUUUAUACACUUCUAUUUAAAAGAAAGAAGAAAAGGAAAAAAAAAAAGCCAUCUUUUAGGAGAAGCAAAGGGGCAAAGGAGCAUCCAGCUAAACAUGUUACCAAAUCUUUGAGAAAUAAACAACAAUACUGAGGAAUGUGCGUCUGAUCAAACAUUUUUUUCAUCCUUCUGAGACAAAGAAUUUAUUAAAAAUUACCCAUAAGCUUAUUAGGUCAAUUAAUCAUAUACCUGCAUGUAACUCUGGUGUAAUAAAGAUCUUGACUGGAGUGUGGUGUGACCGAGCGAGGUCCACUGAGUAAACACCCACGUGAAGCCCUUUCCCCUGGAACCUGAGAGUCAGGCAGCGAAAAGAAGACGUAUUCUGCACAUCACAUCGGCCCCAUUAGGAGGCCCCUGUGAUCACAUUAUGUGCUUUGUCUUCAGAGACUUCCCGGUCUUUUUCACCCAUAAGCAGAAAAAGUCGUCUCCAUCUCAUUACCAGGCUCCCGGGAGCCCGUUCCCUCUGAUGUGUCUCCCUCCCUCACUUUGGAGCUCGACUUCCUUGAGAUCUCUCAUCGUCACCUUUAUUAUAAUGGAGUCUUACAAUCCCACAGCUAGUGACACCCAGGGGAGGAGUAUUCUGAUGAGGAGGGUGGGGGUGCCCGGAGGAGCCAUCUGUGAUGGAAGCUUCCACAGGGACGACUCGGCAGACAGGCAGGAAGAAGGAAGGACUCGUCGGGGAGAUGAGUGUCCCACCACCCGAUUGCCCUCCCCUGGUCUCAGGCAAGAAAAAAGACAGCAAGGCCGUGGACAGGAUCCGUGAAAGCGGCCCCUGCCUGAUUUUAGUGGCAGCAGCCAGUAACAUUUGCUUCUCAGGUAGAAGCAUCAGAGUUUGGAGUACACAGAGGCAGAUGAGUAAACAGAGGUGAUGCCUUUUCUUUGUGACAUAUGUGGGCAGAAGGAGCCCAAAAGGCCCCUGGGAGGAAAGAAUGAUAGCUGGUUUCCUUUUCUCUCACUGGACAGAGUCUCUGAUUCAAUGGCAGGACAGUUAACCAGGCCGAUGGAACAUGAUGAGUGUCUUUCGUUCCAAGAAGAGGCUGGCCCUCCGUGGCUGUUACUUAAUUAAAAGAAGGUCAAAGAUCACGGAGUAUGCUUCACCCGCAUUUAGGGGACAGAAUGGGCCUAGAAUAUCAUAAAAAAGAACAGAAGUGCAAGAGCAAUAUUUUUAGAAGCAAAUCUGAGGGAUGCCAAACAAAUACAGCAACAAAUCAAAAAAGGUCGAAUUCUUCUAGUUUGUCUACUUUGGCCAAGACAACAAAAUUUAAUCAAGUUCAUGUGCAGAUGCGAAUUUUGUGACUUAUUUAGCAUUCUAUAAAUAAAUAUAGAUCAUGUCUAUCUAUAUUUAUAUCUAUCUAUCCAGCUAUCUAUAUGUAUCAGGUUUCUAUCCAUCUAUCUGCCUAUAUUUAUAACUGUAUCUCCACCUAUCUAUAUAUCCACCUGUCUAUCUGUCUUUGUAUUUUUCUCCCUGAGAGUGAGCAACUAUCAAGACAAAAACAAACUGAAAAUGCACACUGCAAUGUGCUGAGUUGCAGAAGGACCCCACAGAUUUAUGAAAAUGUUUGUGGCACUCUCGAUCUUUUUCAUUACGUUUUGAGGCUGCAGUGAGAAACUCACCGCACUCUUGAGAGAUUGGGUCGAAGUCCACAUGAAAAGAGCACACAAGUUCCUUUGCCAUUUUGAACAGAACAAAAGGGAAAACAUGAAGAGCUGUGAGAAAGGAAGAAAAUGUACCCUCUGAGCUGAGAUAAACUAUGGGCUCAGUAAGGAAAAAAGAUACAGGCGGCUAUUGCAGAUUGAAAGAUGCUGCAGCAGGAAGCUCUUCUUCUAAUAAGGGAGGUAAAGGCCAAGUUAAGAGGGAAGCCAAGAGACCUGUCGCCUCCCAAGAGGAAACAGGUUGGGUCAGUGAAACACAACACCUCACUCAGAGUAACCUGAGGGCAGUUUCAGUGUCAGGGUGAUUCUGGGAGAGGUCGCAGUGCAGGAAAAGCACAAUGAAGGUAAAAGGUAAAAGUUGAUGACUAUCCACUCGGCUAGGGACUUCCCUGGUGGUCCAGUGGCUAAGACUGCACUUCCGAGGCAGAGAGUCUGUGUUCAAUCCCUGGUCAGGGAACUAGAUCCCACAUGCUGUGACUAAAUAACCUAACUAAAGAUCCCAUGCACUAUAACUGAGACCUGGUGCAACCAGAUAAAUAAUUUUUUUUCAAAAAAAGUAUAUCCACUAGGAUAAAUUCUAGUGGGUUAAAGAUGCAAACUAAUGAUUUUUUUUUUUAAGAUUUAUUUAUUUACGGCUGCCCUGGGUCUUUGUUGCUGCAAGAGGGCUUUCUCUAGUUGCAGCAAGUGCAGGCUGGCUACUUUUUGUUGCAGUGGCGUCUCAUUUUGGUGGCUUCUUUUGUUCCAGAGCACAGGCUCUAGGUGCUUGGGCUCAGUAGUUGCAGCAUCUGAGCACAGUAGUUGUGGCACAUGGGUCUAGUUGCUCUGAGACUUGUGGGAUCUUCCUGGUCAGGGAUGGAACCCAUGUCCUCAGCAUUGGCAGGUGGAUUCUUAACCAACGGACCACCAGGAAAGCCCCAAGAUUUUUUUAAAAGAAUUAUCAGAAAACAUGUAAUUCUUCUUCUAUGUCUUGGAAUGGAGAAAAGCAUUUCUCACCAUGACUCAAAAUUCAGACAGGACAAACGAGAAGAUUGAUGAAUUUGUCUACAUAAAAAUUAAAACUUCUGAAUGGUGCCCCUCCCCCCCCCAAAAAAAAUAAAAAAGAGGAGAAGGAAGAGAUGGAAAGAAGAAAACACAAAAACAGGGGGAAAAAGACGACUGGAAAAAUAUUCAUAUCACAAAGAGCUGAUCUUCCUAUUACGGAGUGAUUUUUGUAGAAAUUGAGACUAAUGGGCAAAAGAUAUGACCAUCAAUUCACAGAAAUAUAAAUAGCUCAAAUGUAUGACUGUAUGUUCAACUUCACUCACAAGUGAAAUGCAAAUCCAGAUGACAUUGAGAUAUUGUUUAUACAUUUCCAAAAUUCUGAUGACGGACUGUUCAAUUGGUUUCUCCCAGAAGCAGACCCUAAGACAAAUAUUUUAAUGUAGGUAGUUCAUUUGGGAGGUGAGGGCAGGAAACACCGGUAGGGAGGUGAGGAGGAAAGAGAAGGAUGUUAUGAAUGGUGUGUCCUAAAGGCAAGCCCGGAGCUCAAUUGGAGAACCAUGGAGACGGUGCAGAACACUCUCCAGACUUGUCCCCUCUGAAUGAGAAGUGAAGUGAAGUGGCAGUCGCUCAGUCGUGUCCGACUCUUUGUGACUCCAUGGGCUGUUGGAAUUCUCCAGGCCACAAUACUGGAGUAGGUAGCCUUUCCCUUCUCCAGGGGAUCUUCCCAGCCCAGGGAUUGAACCCUGGUCUCCCACAUUGCAGGCGGAUUCUUUACCAGUUGAGCCACAAGGGAAGCCCAAGAAUACUGGAGUGGGUAGCCUCUCCCUUCUCCAGGGGAUCUACCCAACCCAGGAAUUGAACCGGGGUAUAACCCAGGAAUUGAACCAGGGUCUCCUGCAUUGCAGGUGGAUUCUUUACCAACUGAGCUAUCAGGGAGGCCCUGAGAAUGAGAAGCUGGGGUGUUUAUUCAUCAACCCCCUGUCACUGGCUGAUGACUGGGAAAGGAACUCUCAGGAAUUUCUGCCCUGUCCACCCCCCAGGCUUGCACACAGGUCAAGCCUCUUUCCUGAGGCCAGAAAAAAGCCCUGAGGCAGAGUUGCAGCUGCAGGUCUAGAGAAGACCUCCCAGAGGGCAUGGGUGGGGCACGGCAGCAUCUUUCCCAGACCAUCCAUCAGUGAAGCUGCCAGGUCACGGGCAUUCUCAUUGCUGGUGAGAACAGACUAGACACUGUUCCAACACUGGGAGUGCCAGUUAGUUCUUGGAAACCUAUCAAUAUUUAGGCUUCCUAGGUGGCACAGUGAUAAAAGAAUCCGCCUGCCGAUGCAGGAGAUGCGGGAGACGCGGGUUCAAUCCCUGGGUUGGGAAGAGCCCCUGGAGAAGGAAAUGGCAACCCACUCCAGUAUUCCAGCCUGGAGAACCCCAUGGACAGGGGCAGCCUGCAGGCUAUAGUCCUUGGGGUCGCAAGAGUCAGACACGACUGAGCAUGCGUGCAUGCUCUGCUCUCCUGCUGCAUGUACCCUUUGACUCAGCAGCCCCACUUCCAGGAACUUACCCGACAGUUUAGCUUUGCAGCUGUCGUGAAAGACACAUGUGUAAGAUGAUUUCUGCAGCACUAUUUGUAAUGACAGACUCUUGGACACAAUCGAAUGUCCAUCACUGGGAAGGGGAGAGUUAAAAUGCAGCUUUUUUUCCAAGCACAGUUGCUGUACAGUAUUAUAUAAGUUACAGGUGUACAAUAGUGAUUCACAGUUUUUAAAGGUUAUACUCCACUUAUAGUAAUUAUAAAAUACUGACUAUACUCCCUCUGUUGUACAGCGCAUUCUGUAGCUAAUUUCAUAUGUAACAGGUGAACCUCUUAGUCCCCCAACUCUGUGUUGCCCCUCCCCUCUUCCCUCACCCUUCUAGUGACCACUAGUUUCUCCUCUGUAUCUGUGAACCUGAUUCUUUUUUGUUACAUUCACUAGUUUCUCGUCUCUUUUCAGAUUCCACAUAUAAGUGAUAUCCUACAGUAUGUGUCUUUCUGUAGCUUUCAAAACAAUUGAGGCAGUUCUCUGAGUAGUGGAUGUGGUGACAUUUCCAAGAUGGAUUGUUAAGUGACAAAAGGAAAGUGCAAGAAGAUGAUAUAUCUUUUGUGUAAAAAGGGAGAUAGAAGACAAAUAACACCGACUUGUAUCUGUUUAUAUAUGCAUAGAGAAACUGGCAGGAUUCAGCAGAGAUUAAUGAGAGAGUUAAGGGACUUUCCUGGUGGUACCAUGGUUAAGACUCUGUGCUUCUGCUGCAGGGGGCACAGGUUUGAUCCCUGGUCAGGGAACUAAGAUCCCACAUACUGCCUGGUGUGGCCAAAAAUAAAUACAUUUUUAAAAAGAGAGUUAAGGUGAGGGUUGUGGUGAUGGUGACUGGUUGGCAGGGUGAAAUAUAUUUCAAACCCAUGCAUCUAUUAUUCAAAAGUUAAAUUUAGCAAUGCUGAUGAACACAGAUACCUGAGGGGCAUGGAAUUAUGCGGCACUUUUGCAUAAUUACGUGUUACGGAGUUCUGAUUUGUCUGAAUGUGGUGCAUGGUGGAUGUAUUGCUUUGCCAUGUGAAAGACAGCAGUGAUACAAUGACUAGGUGCAAACUGGGGAGACACACAACAGCCAAAGACGCACUCCAGUGGCGACAUUGAUCAGAGCAGGUGUUGAACUAAAAGGAACAGAAAAUGACUGGCUGGCUAAAGCAGAGAAAGAACGUAUUUUUUAAAAACCUUUUAAUUUUGUACUUGGGUAUAGCCGAUUGACAGUGUUGUGAGAGUUUCAGGUGGCCAGCAAAGGGUCUCAGCCAUACAUAUACAUGUAUCCAUUCUCCCCCAAACUCCCCUCCCAUCCGGGCUGCCACAUAACGUGGAGCAGAGUUCCCUGGGCUACACAGUAGGUCACUGUCCGUUAGCCACUCCCUAACUAUCCCUUUCUCCCAUCCUUUCCCCCAGCAACCAUAAAUUCAUUCUCUAAGUCUGUUAGUCUCUUUCUGUUUUGUAAGUAAGUUCCCCUGUUCCAUCUCUAGAAAGAGAACAUAUAUGAAGGCUAUUGGAUAGUUCUCAAUAUCACGGAGAAGGCAGAAGCAAUAGGUUCAAAAUAAAAGCUGAAGCCCAAGGAGGCGGGGAACCAUUACUUACAGACCCAUCUGAUGAGGACACCUGCCACCGCCCCCACUGGACCUGGUUUCCCCUGCUGUCCCUGGGGGGAGCCGGAAGUCAGGCCAGAAAGUUCAGCUGAACCACAAAGACAGGACAGUGUUUAGAUGUUAUCGUAAGAUAUGGGGCAGGUCACCAGGCAGAAAUGUCAAAGCAGAUGACCCAGAACUGGGCCAGGUGAGAACAUGAAAGGGAUGAGAACUUGAGACUGGAGGUAGAUCCUUGGAGAGGAGGCCAGAGGGGCCGGAGUUGCUCCAUACCCUAGGGAGAGGCAGAGCGCUCUGGCAGGCAGGUGAGGUGCUACAAAAACCCACGGAGACGUCCACAACAGGGCCACCUUUAAUCAUUGACAGGACCCGGAGAGCAAAAGCCAGGUGAUGACGGUAACCAAUCUGUUAAGAAAUAGCAUAUUCCCCUUCGGUGCGAGGAAGGAAUCAAGACACCCUCCUCGCCGCCCCAGCUGGGACAAGGAGGAGAAUUUUUGCCUUUGACUGAAGAUAGAAGAAAUUGAGACCAUGUUUUGCAACUUAGUGACAAGAAGACUUUGUUAAGAUGACAAAGACCAGGAGGGUCAUGGGUACUCAUUUCAUGUGGGAUCCAGUGGUAACAGUGGAACCAACCCCAUGAAGGAGGCUUUAAGGGGGUGUCGGGGUGGGGUGGACAAAAAAAGUUUGCUUUAAGAUUCACCACUGGAGACCCAGUUAAGCUGAGUUGAGUAGAAAGUGGACUUUACUGCUGCAGUCACUAAAAUAUUUCAGCCUACUGCUUCAUGUCAUUUGCUCUAG
ensembl:lncRNA